GACGAACGCUGGCGGCGUGCCUAAUACAUGCAAGUCGAACGCAGUGGGGACGGGUGAGUAACACGUGGGUAACCUCCCAUCAGAGGGGAUAACACUUGGAAACAGGUGCUAAACAGAUACUGGUUGAUCAACCCCCGGUGCAUUAGCUAGUUGUUGAGGUAACGGCUCACCAGGGCCACGAUGCAUACACAGCCGGAGAUGGUGAUCGACCACCCUGUGAGUGAGCCAGGUCCCAGACUCCUACGGGAGGCAGCAGUGGGGAAUCUUCGGAAAUGGACGAAAGUCUGACCGAGCAAAGCCGCGUGAGUGAAGAAGGUUUUCGGAUCGUAAAACUCUGUUGUUAGAGAAGCGGUAACUAAAAAGAAAGCCACGGCUAACUACGUGCCAGCAGCCGCGGUAAUAG
rnacentral:rRNA from 1 species